CAGUCGCCGCGGUAAUGCGGAGGGCGCGAGCGUUACCCGGAUUUACUGGGCGUAAAGGGCGUGUAGGCGGCCUGGGGCGUCCCAUGUGAAAGGCCACGGCUCAACCGUGGAGGAGCGUGGGAUACGCUCAGGCUAGAGGGUGGGAGAGGGUGGUGGAAUUCCCGGAGUAGCGGUGAAAUGCGCAGAUACCGGGAGGAACGCCGAUGGCGAAGGCAGCCACCUGGUCCACUUCUGACGCUGAGGCGCGAAAGCGUGGGGAGCAAACCGGAUUAGAUACCCGAGUAGUCCCUGUCUCUUAUAC
rnacentral:rRNA from 1 species